CAGAGAUUGAACCUGUAUCCUCAUGGAUACUAGUCGGGUUCAUUACCACUGAGCCUCAAUGGGAACUUCUCAUGAAUAUUUUUUAAAGUAAGGGUUUUACUUUGAAAAAGCAAAAUCGGACAUGCAUGCAGCCUACCAACAACUGUGUUUCCUGCUUAUGUGAUUGCCUUGUAUUUAUUGUGAGAGAGAAGUAUACACACCCUGCAAAAAGGGUCUGCAGGUGAAUGCUUGGGUGUUUGAGGGUCUAGAGUGCCCUUCUCAGCAGAAGUGGGUUCCUCAUCCUUUGCUGCAUGUGUAGGAGCAUUCUGCAGAAAAGUCUUAGGCCCUAGUCUCAUGGAGACAUUGAAGAGGGAUUGGAGAGCAGGGAAUCAGAGGGACAAACAUUAACUUCAGAUGUUGUCAGAGAAGGAUCAACGAUUUAAAAAAGAACUUAUUCUCAGGAAUAAGAACCAUCUUCUCACAUUGCCCAUCUCUGAGUUCCAGAAAUGCUUUGCAGUGAUGCAAACGCUUUGGUGAAAAAGCAUCAGUUGAAGAACGAUUGAGUCUCCAAUAACAACCUUGAGGGCUGAGUGGAUUUGUUAAACCUCUGUUGCUUUUGAUUCUCCUUCUGCUCCCUUGGUACUAGCAUCCUGACAGACCUACUUCUGAAUUCCAGAACCUUCCAAGAACUCUUGGCACAUCCCAGAAUUGCACCAGCAUUUGGAGAUUGGCAUUGAAGCUGACUGAAAAACUUAUUAUGAUAAUUAAAUUAAUUUCCAAUUCUCGAGGUUUCGCUUGAGUGAACCAUCUUACUGGAUGCUCACAUCAGGCGGGUAAGUGGUAUUACCUCCAUCAUACAGGGGAGGAGACUGGGGCUGGCAGAUGUUUGAUGAUGGACUUGAAUUUCAGUUAAUUAAGUUUUUGAGAUAAUGUCACAGAAGCCAAAAAAAUAGCUAACAAAACCCACUUUGGAGUGAUUUUUAUUUUUAUUUAUUUUUAGUUAUUUUUUGUCUUUUUGCCUUUUCUAGGGCCGCUGGCAUACGGAGGUUCCCAGGCUAGGGGUCUAAUUGGAGCUAUA